rnacentral:rRNA from 1 species
UGCCAGCCGCCGCGGUAAUACGGAGGGAGCGAACGUUGUUCGGAAUUAUUGGGCGUAAAGCGCACGUAGGCGGAUUUUUAAGUCAGAUGUGAAAUCCCAAGGCUCAACCUUGGAACUGCAUUUGAAACUGGGAAUUUAGAGAUCAGGAGAGGUUAGUGGAAUACCGAGUGUAGAGGUGAAAUUCGUAGAUAUUCGGUGGAACACCAGUGGCGAAGGCGACUAACUGGACUGAUAUUGACGCUGAGGCGCGAAGGCGUGGGUAGCGAACGGGAUUAGAUA